rnacentral:rRNA from 1 species
CACGUAGGGGGCGAGCGUUGUCCGGAUUUAUUGGGCGUAAAGAGCUCGUAGGCGGUUCGGCAAGUCGGGUGUGAAAUUUCGAGGCUCAACCUCGAAACGCCACUCGAUACUGCUGUGACUGGAGUCCGGUAGAGGAGUGCGGAAUUCCUGGUGUAGCGGUGAAAUGCGCAGAUAUCAGGAGGAACACCGAUGGCGAAGGCAGUUCUCUGGGCCGUAACUGACGCUGAGGAGCGAAAGCGUGGGGAGCGAACAGG